GGGUCCGCACAAGCGGUGGAGCAUGUGGUUUAAUUCGAUGAUACGCGAGGAACCUUACCUGGGCUCGAACACUAUUAGACGAUACCUGAAAGGGUAUUUCUCUUCGGAGCUGGUAGUGAGGUGCUGCAUGGUUGUCGUCAGCUCGUGCCGUGAGGUGUUGGGUUAAGUCCCGCAACGAGCGCAACCCACAUCCCUAGUUGCCAGCAGUUCGGCUGGGCACUCUAUGGAAACUGCCCGUGAUAAGCGGGAGGAAGGUGUGGAUGACGUCAAGUCCUCAUGGCCCUUACGGGUUGGGCUACACACGUGCUACAAUGGUAGUGACAAUGGGUUAAUCCCAAAAAGCUAUCUCAGUUCGGAUUGUCGUCUGCAACUCGACGGCAUG
rnacentral:rRNA from 1 species